rnacentral:lncRNA from 1 species
GAGCUCUGAGUCGACUUGAUGCCUUAGGAAUAGAUCCUGAAGGAUGCUGAGCACCUUUAAUGCCAAGGAAAUGCCUUUUACAUUCUUCAGUAUUGACUGGUCCUCCAGGGUUCCUUUGUGCAGAUAAGGAAUGGCAGUGCUAUGACUGGUUCAACUCACUCGUGUGUUUGCAAACAGGGACCAAAGUCACAAACCCUCGGAGAACGUGAGCUGUCUGCCGAUUUCUCUGGAUGCUGGCUUCCUCCAAUGUACGCACAGCUGGCUGGCAGAGACUUUUGGAAGCAGCCUGGUUACUUAAGAGCAGAUGUUUUGGAUGGAAAAUGUACCGUUGGAGCAAAAUAUUGCUGGAGUGACCCUGCCUAAGAGGAAGCACGAACUCACCUGAUGGGUGCAGGGACUGGGAACGAGACUUGGGAAUUCUGCUUUGCAGACUCUUGUUAUGCCCUCAGAGCUUUGACUGAAUACAAACCCAUUUGUGACUUUUCCAUGCUCCCCUUCUAAGACUUAUUUUUCCACUCUGCAUUUUCUCAGCAGGAUACCUGCUUGCAUUGUAUGUUAGAGUUUCAGUUGAACACUGAAUCUACAAAUCCCUGACACAGGAGCAUCUUUACCGGGCUGACCUGCCCCAAAGCAGGAGAGGUGGAGAGAUGACUGCCUCAUCUGCUCCAUUGGAGUUACUGUAAUGAGUACAGCUGAAUGCAGAGUAGAGAGAAAAGUAACUCCUAAAUUUUAAACAAAUGCAGAAUCCAAAGUAAAAGGUUUUCUCAAGGUUUAAACAAUUAUCCCUUUGAUAAAAUGUGCUUGUAUGUCACAACUGUGAGGUGUUGGGACACCU